UCUCCCAUCCCUGGCAAGAGACACCUUGUUGGUGGUGUUCUUAUAUCAGUCAGGGGUGGAGCAGAUGAGCAGAUGGCAGUCCUUUGUUCAUCCCGGCUUGAUGCCUGGCUUGGUGGCCAAAGCUGUUUUAUGUCCAGGACACAUGA